CAAUCCAGGAAUCCAGAAAAAAAUCAAGGAAUCCACCUGGAGAACGAGGCUGCUCUGCAGUAGGAAGGAUUCUGCUGUGCUGGGGCCCGGAGCCGAUGGCAGAGAAUGUCCACGACUAACAACAUAGCUCAGGCCAGGAAGCUCGUGGAGCAGCUCCGCAUCGAGGCCGGGAUCGAGAGGAUCAAGGUCUCCAAAGCAUCCUCGGAGCUGAUGAAUUACUGUGAGCAGCAUGCUCGGAAUGAUCCUCUCCUGGUGGGAGUUCCUGCUUCUGAGAAUCCCUUUAAGGACAAAAAGCCCUGUAUCAUCCUAUAGCUGUGGAUCCUUCUGGAAGGAAAUCCCCAUCCAGCCUCUGGAUCCAGGCUCCUCCACAGCUCCACCUGCACCCAGGGAUCUGAUUCUUCCUCUGUGUUCGAGACCAGAGCUUGGUGCUAUCCUUGGAGCCGGGGCUGGAGCCGGGAAUUCUUCCUCCUCCUCCUCCUCCUCCUCCUUCUCCUCCUCCUCAGGGGCUCCAACCCCUCCAUCCCGGGAGGAUCCCGUGGGAUGGGAAUCCCGAGGGAUGCUGGGUCAGAUAUUUUGGGGUCUGGGUGCUUUGGGGUCGCUCUGCCUCCCCCGUGCCGGGGUCCUGCCCGAGCCAAAGCCACGCUGGAGCCGGGAAAUGGGAAAAGGGAAAAGGAUCUGGGAAAUGGGAAAU